rnacentral:snoRNA from 1 species
CAGAAGUGAUGAACUUACUGACGGGUGGGCAGACACUGUGUGCUGAUUGCCGUUUUCCGAUUA